GCAACCUACCUUAUACUGGGGAAUAGCCCGAAGAAAUUCGGAUUAAUGCUCCAUGGUUUAUCGAUAUGGUUUCGUAUUGAUAAUAAAGAUUUAUCGGUAUAAGAUGGGCAUGCGUAUCAUUAGCUAGCUGGUGUGGUAACGGCAUACCAAGGCAACGAUGAUUAGGGGUCCUGAGAGGGAGAUCCCCCACACUGGUACUGAGACACGGACCAAACCUCUACGGGAGGCAGCAGUGAGGAAUAUUGGUCAAUGGAGGCAACUCUGAACCAGCCAUGCCGCGUGCAGGAUGACGGUCCUAUGGAUUGUAAACUGCUUUUGUACAGGAAGAAACCUCCCUACGAGUAGGGACUUGACGGUACUGUAAGAAUAAGGAUCGGCUAACUCCGUGCCAGCAGCCGCGGUAAUACGGAGGAUCCGAGCGUUAUCCGGAAUUAUUGGGUUUAAAGGGUUCGUAGGCGGCUUUGUAAGUCAGUGGUGAAAUUUCCUAGCUUAACUAGGACACUGCCAUUGAUACUGCAGAGCUUGAAUAAUAUGGAAGUAACUAGAAUAUGUAGUGUAGC
rnacentral:rRNA from 1 species